GACGAACGCUGGCGGCGUGCUUAACACAUGCAAGUCGAACGAAGUGGCGAACGGGUGAGUAACGCGUAAUCAACCUGCACUUCAGAGGGGGACAAGAGUUGGAAACGACUGCUAAUACCGCAUACUGAAGGCGGGGAUUGCGUCUGAUUAGCUAGUUGGAGGGGUAACGGCCCACCAAGGCCAUGAUCAGGAGCCGGGCUGGGAGGAUGAACUGCCACAUUGGGAAUGAGACACGGCCCAGACUCCUAAGGGAGGGAGCAGGGGGGAAUCUUUCGCAAUUGAGGAAAGUCUGACGGCGCAACGACGCGUGAGGGAUGACGGCCUUCGGGUUGUAAAGCUAUGUUAAUCGGGACGCGGUACCGGAAUAGAAAGCAACGGCUAACUACGUGCCAGCAGCCGCGGUAAUUC
rnacentral:rRNA from 1 species